GUGCUCACUUUGGCAGCCCAUAUACUAAAAUUGGAACAAUACGGAGAAGAUCAGCAUGGCCCCUAUGCAAGGAAAACAUGCAAAUUCAUGGAGUGUUCCAUAUUUUU
ensembl:snRNA U6 U6 spliceosomal RNA